rnacentral:tRNA from 1 species
CAGGAAAUAGUUUAAGAUAAAAUUUUAAUUUUGGAGAUUAAUGAUAAGAUUGUAGUUCUUUUUCCUGA